rnacentral:pre_miRNA from 1 species
UGGAAGACUAGUAAUUUUGUUGUAUGCGAAAUUUUAUCAGACAUUCAGUUUGAGAGGAUUUACAACAUUAUUUCUGUUUUCCAAG